rnacentral:rRNA from 1 species
CCUACGGGAGGCAGCAGUGGGGAAUAUUGGACAAUGGGCGCAAGCCUGAUCCAGCCAUGCCGCGUGGAUGAUGAAGGCCCUAGGGUUGUAAAGUCCUUUUAACGGGGAAGAUAAUGACGGUACCCGUAGAAUAAGCCCCGGCUAACUUCGUGCCAGCAGCCGCGGUAAUACGAAGGGGGCUAGCGUUGCUCGGAAUUACUGGGCGUAAAGCGCACGUAGGCGGGUUCUUAAGUCGGUGGUGAAAUCCUGGAGCUCAACUCCAGAACUGCCUUCGAAACUGGGAAUCUUGAGUCCGGGAGAGGUGAGUGGAACUGCGAGUGUAGAGGUGAAAUUCGUAGAUAUUCGCAAGAACACCAGUGGCGAAGGCGGCUCACUGGCCCGGUACUGACGCUGAGGUGCGAAAGCGUGGGGAGCAAACAGGAUUAGAUACCCCGGUAGUCCACGCCGUAAACGAUGAAUGCUAGCCGUUGGCGAGCUUGCUCGUCUAGUGGCGCNGACUACGUACUUAAGUACUACUUCCGUCCGUCGGGUAGGUACGGUCGCGAGAAGUUAAACGUAACGAAAGUAGAAGUUAGUAACGGUCGUGAGACGUGCCGACGGACGACGACGAGGGAGGAGG